GACGAACGCUGGCGGCGUGCCUAAUACAUGCAAGUCGAACGAAGCGGGGACGGAGGAGUAACAGGUGGAUAACCUCCUAUAAGACUGCGUUAACUUCGGGAAACCCGAGCUAAACCGGAUACUAGUGGUUGGAUCCGCCCUGCAUUCGCUAGUUGGUAAGGUAACGGCUUACAAAGGCAACGAGGCAUAGCGGACCUGAGAGGGUGGUCAGCAACACGGGAACUGAGACACGGUGCAGACUCCGACGCGAGGAAGCAGUAGGGAAUCUUCCGCAAGGGGCGAAAGCCUGACGGAGCAACGCCGCGUGAGUGAUGAAGGUGUUCGGAUCGUAAAACUCUGUUAGUAGGGAAGCGGUACCAAAGCAGAAAGCCACGGCUAACUACGUGCCAGCAGCCGCGGUAAGAC
rnacentral:rRNA from 1 species